rnacentral:rRNA from 1 species
CCCUACGGGGCGAGCAAGAUGAAGGUGGCUGUGGAGCAUGCCAUGGAAAACCUGCGCCUCAAGAAUGAAAUCGAUUAUCACCGGAGGCAGCAGGAUGUUGUUUACGAUAUGAACCGGAUUGUUGCAGCCAGCCCCGUCAUGAAAAAUACCAUCAGCAUGAUCCGCAAGCUUGCGCUCACGGAUUCCACGAUUCUCAUGACGGGCGAGACGGGUACGGGAAAACGCUUUCUUUCGGGGUGCAUUCAUUUCAACAGCCAGAGAAAGAGCAAGGCGUUCGUGACCAUCAAUUGCGCCAACAUUCCGGAAGCCCUCCUGGAAAGCGAGCUUUUCGGACAUGAGGCCGGCGCCUUUACGGGGGCCUACAAGGCUAGGGCGGGAGAGC